rnacentral:piRNA from 1 species
UACCACGAGGCGAGGUGGCCCAGGGAGAGU